rnacentral:rRNA from 1 species
CCUACGGGUGGCAGCAGUGAGGAAUAUUGGUCAAUGGGCGCAAGCCUGAACCAGCCAAGUCGCGUGAAGGAUGACUGUCCUAUGGAUCGUAAACUUCUUUUAUAAAGGAAUAAAGUGCGGGACGUGUGCCUUUUUGUAUGUACCUUAUGAAUAAGGAUCGGCUAACUCCGUGCCAGCAGCCGCGGUAAUACGGAGGAUCCGAGCGUUAUCCGGAUUUAUUGGGUUUAAAGGGAGCGUAGAUGUGCUGUUAAGUCAGCUGUGAAAGUCUGCGGCUCAACCGUAAAAUUGCCGUUGAUACUGGCAGUCUUGAGUAUAGUUGAGGUAGGCGGAAUGCGUGGUGUAGCGGUGAAAUGCUUAGAUAUCACGAAGAACCCCGAUUGCGAAGGCAGCUUACUAAGC